rnacentral:lncRNA from 1 species
AUGUUCCUUGCUUGGUUGCUUGCUUUAUUACAGAACCUCUUCCUUUUAUACUCUCCAGCUGCACGGGAGCGAGGGCUGCGAGGGCUGCGAGGGUACCGCCCACACAUUCCAGGGGGAAACAAUAACCACCAUUACGGGUUACAUCUGCUACCAGCUGAACUCUCCCGUGGCUAUGGGCGAGAGCACGUCCGUGCCGGCGAGGUGACUCAAAGUUCAAUCAUGGCUAGGCCUGUGUCAAGGCUCACCAUAAUGGCUCGCCAUAGCGCCACUAAGCCAAAUCCCAGCCCCAGUGACUGGGGUUUCAACUGUCGUCCAUGUUGGCUCCUGAAGGGCCGCCCCUGUCUUACCACCUUGGAGAUAACUAACUUAGCUAUCUAUGGUACUGGGAUCGGGGAAGAAGACAUCCCUGUCUACAGAGGCAGUUAGGUGAGCCUGGGAGAGCCUGUGACGCAGGACUUGGGGCCAACUUCCUCCACCACAGACAGCACCCUCCUUCGCCAUCUCAGGACUGCUCCUUUCCCUCAAUUUUGGUCUUUUCCAGAAGGUCGCCUCCUCAGGAGCUGCCCUGUCCCUGCGUGGUGUGGCCAGCACCGCCCAGCCCAGACCCCAGGUCCCAGCGCCUCCCUGCACAUACCCCUGGGAUUUUUCUGAAGUGUGGCACCGACUUGCUCUGGAACUUUUCCUUCUGUGCUCACUGUGUGUGUGAGGCAGGAACAUGGCAAGUUGGAGCCCAGCCCUAGCAACUUAGACCCUGUCACAAAAUCAAAAUAAAUAAAAAACCUGCUGACUGUGUGGCUUACUGGGAAGGGUCUGGGUUCAGUCCCCAGUUGAUAAUCGAUAAUGGGGAGAGAGAGGAUGUAGGACCCUGUUCCCUUGUCUUCUGCAUGUCCAGCUGCCAGGGCUGAGUACUUUGGACACCAGAUGAGUGAAUGGGGAGCCUGGGGGAUGUGCGAAUAGAUUUUCACAGAAAGGAGGCCACUGGCCGCUCUGAAAGUGGAUUAGGAGCCGGCCCAUGAGGGCACUUCCCUGUGGGGCAGGGUGAGCUCCGCCAUCACCCCAUGAGUUGGUCCCACUUCUCCCAGGAUCCCGUCCCCAUCCUCAGUCUGCUGAAAGAACCCCAUCGGCUUUAUUCUGUGAUGCUAGACUCAGGCUCUGCUCUGAACACCAGGCUGGGGGUUCUGGUUCCUUGUUGAUGGUGGUCUGACCCACCUGGUUAGCACCUUCCUGUGGGAAGCCAGCCAUGAGCCACUGGCUUUUUGAAAGACAACAUUUGUUCCUUUUUAAGGACUGCACGUGUUAAACUUGUUUUGACCCUGCACGGGAGAAACACGGACAGCCAAAGAUCUGUAGGAGUCAGGUGUUGUUAACUCCAUUUUGUUAUGUUAAAGAUCUGAUGUUAUCUAUAGGAGCAGGUGUUGAGGUUACUAUGGUAAUCCUAGCCCAUAAUAGUUCGGUCUUUUCCUUUAAAAGCCUGAUGCCUGCCUGUAAUAAACGUCACCGUGAUCAGACUCUUGUCUUGGCGUCCUUCCUUUCUCUCUGCCCCAUCUCCACCCCGCUGCUCUUUCAGGUUUGAGGCACUGCGGGACAGUGCUCUGCGUCACCGGUUCGCGACACCUUCUGCUGUGGCUUCUCUGCUGAUUUCUCAGAAGGUCUGGUAGGCAACUUAGUUUUGGCUUGGUGACAUGGAAUCUCUGUAUAAGUGACUGCAUUUUUUUUUUUAUUCCAGACACUAAGCUAUAUCCCCAGCUCAUUUUAUUUUGAAACAGGGUUUUACUAGUUGCCCAGGCUGGGCUCAAACUUGUGAUCUUUACUAGGAUUACAAGAGUGAGCCCCUGUAUCUGGGUUUUAGUCUGAUCUAUGGAGACCCAGUUCAGUACAGCAGCCUCCUGUGUUGUUACUUGACACACCUGGUCACACGUCCACAUUUCAGAUAAGAAAAUGAGGCAUAGAGAAGUUAACUGCGCCAACUCCCUGGCUCACUGUCAGCUCGGGUCCUGUCAGAGUCCUGCUUCCCCUGCUCACCUCACAGCCUGCCACACUCUCCAGGGGCCACGCAUCUCUUCUCAGACACCAAUGAGAGCUGAGCGCCGAGCAGACACGAGCCGUAUCUCACUAGUGACAGCUUCAUAAAGAGACCAGCUUUAUUUGGCUCUCUGUUCCAGAGGCUCAAGGCCCAAACGACAGCCUGUGACAGAGCCUCUGGCAUCUCCCCGUCCUUACAGACCCACUGCCUGCAUCUGGGAUCUCGCCCUAAGGUGCGCCAAAUUGUCUAAAGGCCCCCACCUCUCCACCUGCAGUCAAAGUAAUUUUCUGCCCUCCUAACCAUUUGACACAGACUGCAGGGGUUAAACCCCUGCAUGGGUGUGUGUGUGUGGGGGGAACAAACUAUUCAAGCCAGCAAGCUGUGAAGCUGUGGGGUGUGGCAGUGCACGCCUGUGAUCCUAGAACUUCGGGAGGCUGAAGCAGGAGGAUCGCAAAUUCAAGUCCAACCUGGGUGCUGGACAAUUCAGCCACUUAGAGAGUCCUUGUCUCAAAAUAAAAAAUAAAAUGGGCUGUGAUGUAACUCAGUGCGAGGGCCCUGGGUUUACAGCGGGUUCUCCCAAAAGACCAUCGAGGACCACGUGGGGACCUGGGGACUCCGUGGGUUACCCGAAGAAUCUGUUUUAACGAGCUGUUUAGGGAAUCAUCGCGUACAUAACAGUUUCAAAGCCUAGGCCUGUCCGGCGCUUCGCUGUCAAAACACCCUCGUGCGAACCGCUUUGGCUUCCCGUUCCCAAGGCAACAAGGGAAGGGUUCUUUCCACUCUCCUUCCCGCCUCCCGUCCCUACGGAAGCAGCCGAGUUUAAUCGGAAAAGGCCGAGCGGAGCUGGCAGGCCGUUUCCGGCCGGGGUGCAUUAUGGGAAAGCGCAGUUUCCGUUGGGCGCUGGGGUGCGAGGAGCCGCUGGCAGCUCUCGCACGUGAAGCGCAUCUCGGGCUCCGCUCGCGGGCCGCCCCCUCUCACCGCCAAGCGCCUCGGGAG